rnacentral:tRNA from 1 species
GCGGAAGUAGCUCAGUUGGUAGAGCGUCAGCCUUCCAAGCUGAAUGUCGCGAGUUCGAACCUCGUCUUCCGCUCUA